rnacentral:rRNA from 1 species
ACGCUCGACACCUACGUGAGGCAGCAGUGGGGAAUAUUGCACAAUGGGGGAAACCCUGAUGCAGCGACGCCGCGUGAGCGAAGAAGUAUUUCGGUAUGUAAAGCUCUAUCAGCAGGGAAGAAAGUGACGGUACCUGACUAAGAAGCACCGGCUAAAUACGUGCCAGCAGCCGUGGUAAUCUGAGCGGGCUGGCAAGGC